GCUUGCUGCACCAGACCCGUCCUCGUCUGUGUCACUGGAAGUAAAUUCGAAUAUGUGGGUUUUCGAAGGAGUGACUGUGGCGUUUAAUUUUUGUUUUCUCAUUUUGUAGUCAGCAGCAGUCGUUGGGUCAAAGAAAGAACUAGGAAGUAUGUCCUGUUGUAGAGAAAAGGGGCAUUUUUUGCCGACUAUCCGGAGAAACGCCGUUGCCCAUGGUGCAAGCAUGCAUUUGUUAAGUGUUUUGAGGUGGAGAAAGAGAGCAAAAACAAAGGUAGAUUAUUCAAUACCUAUACUGCAAAAUGUGGACAUUGGGAGUGGUUCAAAGAUGGCGAGACUAGCGAUGAAUCAAGUGCAGUCAGAGUAACUUCGACGAAUCAUGUGACGAGCAAAGGAGUUGAACUGUCUUGCAUGUUUCACUCUCAAUGUCGAAUAUUUGAUCAACGUGAUGUGGAGAUGUCUCUUAACGUGACAAUACACAAAGGAAGAGCAAAUGUGGAUGGAGAGAAGAAAGGAAAUGGACGUGAAUGAGUUGCAAUUCUCAAUUUAAUGACCUUAUUGACUUAUGCAUUUCCGGCAUUAGUAGUUUUAUCACUAGUUGCAGUGGUUAACUUGAUGACCUUAUUCACUUGUGGAUUUUCGGCAUUAGCAGUUUCAUCACUAUUUAGUAGUUAAGUAAUGUUGUUUUGUAAUUGUGUUGUCGUAUGAGGUUACUCGAUGAGGUUAGGUCUAGGGGCAUCUCUUUUUUGAAUUGCAAGUGACUAUUCCUUUCGUGAUAACUUCAUUUUGUUUUAAUUUGUCUUUGUCAUUCCCUAAUUUACCAUUAAAAUUUUGAAGUCUGA